rnacentral:ncRNA from 1 species
GUUUCAGGGCGAGGUGAAAUCCCUCACCGGCGGUGACCAGCUUGGUGCUGGAAGUCCGCGAACUCCAGAUAGGAGCCGAUUUGGUGCAAUUCCAAAACCGACGGUAUAGUCCGGAUGAAAGAAA